CCGCCGACGGCAAGUUUGUCAUUAUCUCUCCGAUGUCAGGUCAGAACACAUCAGGUAUGUGAAGCAUCCAAGAUGGCAGCAGUUCACCGCAUUUACCAUUUGUCGGCAUCUGCUUUAGUUGUCCCUGGCAGUCCUCUCGUCUGUGCCCUUAUCUGCCGAGCUCAACAAAGUAAAUUAUAAAUUAAAUCCUGGGGCUGAUUUUAACGACGAAAACUCACUCGGAUCUUUUCGGUUUGAACGGCAGUUUUUUUUAAUAAUUUCCACGUAACUAAACACUUUUAAACUUCGUAUACUGGUAGAAUGUGUUUAUAAAACAUUUUUUUCUCUUGGCUUUAUUGAGAAAAUUCUAUAGUUUGUAAGAUAUUUGUUGUUUUUUUUCUUCAAUUUCUGCAAUUUCAACCAAUUAAUGACGUCUAUUGAGGUGAAAACAUUAUGUGCCGUAUGAAUAUGUCCCUCGUUUAAGAAACAGAUUGGGUUUAUUUACAUUUCUGAAGAAAAAAGAUACCCUUCCCCCCCACCUCUAACCAUAACCCUAAGCCUAAAACAGAUUGAAAUGCAAUAGAUCGAUACUAGGGUCAUAAUUAUAGGUGACAAUUUCCUGACACUGCUAGAAAAAACUGCCGUUCAAACCGAAGAGAUCCACCCACUCUUCUAAAUUGUUAGCCUUAUGCCGAAAUUAGAAAUAAAUAUUUUUAAUGCAGUUGUUCUGAUACAGCGAAGAACAAAAUGCCAUUCGUGUUCUGGUUCGGCUCUUGUUCUGAAUUCAAAUUACACCGACUUCAACUUUGCCUGUCAUCAUUCCUUGUUCGAAAAAAAAAAAAAGUAACAGUCGAGUCGGUCAAUUUAAUCGACUACCAGCCGUUGCCGGAAUGCAAUGUGUUGUUAAGGGUGCGUGAACCCUAAAUCCUCGCUGAAAUAUAGGACUUAGAUGAAGUGACACGCUGGUUGAAGUAAGCUGUUAUUACAUCAAUAUUAUCUACACAUACCGAAAGGCGGCGAACAGGCAGAACUGUUAACACGUCGGAUCAAAAUGCUUAGCGGCAUUUCUUCCGUCUUUACUUUCUGAGUUCAAAUUUCGCCGAGGUCUAUUUUGCCUUUCUUCCUUUCAGGGUCGAUAAAAUAAGUGCCAGUUGAACACUAAAAUCUAUGUAAUCGACUCAUCCCUUAUCCCGAAUUUGCUGGCCUUGUGCCAAAAUUUGAAACCAAUAUUGCCAAAAACAAAACAACUCACACGACGUGCCGCAUGUCAGAUGACGAAAUGAUCGCAAAGCAACGAGAAAUGAAGUGCUUUGCUCAAGAAUACAACGCAAUGCUCGUAUAGGAAUCGAACUAUGUAUAUAUAUAUAUAUAUAUAUAUAUAUAUAUAUAUAUACACACACAAAAUUAAGAGGAAUGACCACUAAGGUGGACACCUAAUAUGCUAAACAUAGACGUCAAAUCGCCAUUACCACAAAACGCCAAAGUGACGUUUUGGCGUUUUGCUGGGAUUUUUUUCUUGAGAACACAUUUUUCGUGGUAAUGGCUAUUCGGCGUCUAUGUUUAGCCUAUUAGGUGUCCACUUUAAUGGUCAUUCCUCUUAAUAUUGUAUGUAAUACAAUUUUGAAUCUUCAGAUUUUUUAAAUAUGCUAAGCCACUGGUUUUAAUUGAUUAAUAUAAAUUUCUAACCUUAUUAUUUAAUUUAUACAUAUAUACAUAUAUAUAUAUAUAUAUAUAUAUAUAUAUAUAUAUAUAUAUUUCUCUCGUUGUUUCUCUCCUUGUUUUUUCUGUGUCCCUUUCUGUAGAAGAGCGUAGGCUCGAAACAUAAAAUACUUUUUCUAUUCUUGAGCGUUAUACUAAUACAUAUUUGUUUUGUACACCACCUGUCUUCGUCUUUUGUUUUUUCGUAAACUCUCUCUCUCUCUCUCUCUAUAUAUAUAUAUAUAUAUAUAUAUAUAUAUUCACGUUUAUAAAUAUUUAUGCGAGAUUGUGUGUUUAUUUAUGCGCGCUUGCGGGUGUGUAUAUAUGUCCAUGUGUGUUUGUACAACAAUAUCGAUUUACUCGAUAAAACAAUAUCAAGUUUUCCCACCUCUGGCAUUUAAUGCUUACAUGCAAUGCUACCCUGUCACCUGUUGCUUCCAAUUAUUUGUCUUUGUCUUUGUUUUGUUUUUAUUUCGUUUUGUCUUUACUUUCGGUUGAAUGGGUCAUCCUUUAUCCCCUCUCACCCGCCUGUGAUAAGGUGUAAAGCGUGACUUGAGAAAUCAGCCAAUCCGUACCAACCAAUUUUUAUACCAGCGGUUAUCACAUAGAGAGAUAAGGUCAACAAUGAUAUCUCCACAAACACUAAAUAUCAUAUAAAUAACCGUAACGACACAUUUACCACAACAAUAUAGCUGUAAUAAUAACAAUGAUAUUGCAAUAAGCAAUGGAUUACAUAAAUAAUAGUAAUAACAAUACUAUCACUUCAAUAAUAAUACUCUUUUACUUGUUUCAGUCAUUUGACUGUGGCCAUGCUGGAGCACCGCCUUUAGUCGAGUAAAUCGACCCAGGACUUAUUCUUUGUAAGCCUAGUACUUAUUCUAUCGGUCUCUUUUGCCGAACCGCUAAGUUACGGGGACGAAAAUACACCAGCAUCGGUUGUCAUGCGAUGCUGGGGAGACAAACACAGACACACAAACAUAUACACACACACAGAAAUAUAUACAUACAUACAUACAACGGGCUUCUUUCAGUUUUCGUCUACCAAAUCCACCGACAAGGCUUUGGGUCGGCCCGAGGCUAUAGUAGAAGACAUUUGGCCAAGGUGUCACGCUGUAGGAAUUAACCUGGAACCAUGUGGCUGGUAAGCAAGCUACUUACCAUACAGCCACUCCUGCGCCUAUGCGACUCCUUACUAUGAUAACAACAACAGCAUCGCAAAAUGCAUAGAAAAUGUUAGAUAUAUAAAGCUGGCAAUGCAAAAUUGCUAUCACAACAGCGAAGGAAACUGAAAAUAUGAUAACGUCACCGGCAACAAUAUUUCAGCGGCACCAACAAAAGCAACAUAAACAAAAUGGUAACAAAAUAACAACCGACUAUUAGAAAGUCAACAAUAAUAACUAAAACAGCAAUCAUCCAAUGAAGCCAAUCAAUAUAUGAAAUAUUAACAGAAAACAAAUAAUAAUAAUAAUAACAACAAUAAUAAUAAUAAUGAUAGUAGUAGUAGUAGUAGUAAUAACAAUAAUAAUAAUAAUAACAAUAAUAAUAAUAAUAAUAAUAAUAGUAGUAGUAGUAGUAAUAAUAAUAAUAAUAAUAAUAAUAAUAAUAAUAAUAAUAAUAAUAAAAUUAAUAACAAUAACAAUAAUAAUAAUAAUAGUAGUAGUAGUAGUAGGAGUAGUGGUAGUAGUAGUAGUAGUAGUAGUAGUAGUAGUAACAAUAACAAUAAUAAUAAUAAUAAUAAUAAUAAUAAUAAUAAUAAUAAUACAAUGAAAAUUAUAAACAAGCCAGUAAAACGUAAUUUAAACAAACAUUCGUGUCUAGUUUAAAUUUCUUGCAUCGACGUAUUGAAUUCUGUUGACGUCAGGUCACGUGCUUCUGCUAGGAAUAAUGGUAAUUCUACAGCAUUUGCAAAAUAAGAGAUCGUUGUUCAAGAAACAACAAAUUACAAACAAACGACGUGUUAUUUUACACCGGAUUGUUGUUACUUUACCUCUUAGCUACCUGCCACAUCCGUGCCGCCGCAUGUAGUUAUGUAUGUGGGCCGUUAGUUUUGAGGGUGAAAUACAGAAGCAAAAAUGUUUAUCAAAAUACUGUGGCAAGAUAAAUACAUACACACACACACACACACACACACACACACACACACACAUAUAUAUAUAUAUAUAUAUAUAUAUAUAUACAUAUAUAUUUAUAUAUAUGUAUAUAUAUAUACGUAUAAUGUAUGUAUGUAUGUAUGUAUAUACUCUUUACUCUUUUACUUGUUUCAGUCAUUUGACUGCGGCCGUGCUGGAACACCGCCUUUAGUCGAGCAAAUCGACCCCAGGACUUAUUCUUUGUAAGCCUAGUACUUAUUCUAUCGGACUCUUUCGCAGAACCGCUAAGUUACGGUGACGUAAACACACCAGCAUCGAUUGGCGAGCCAUGUUGGGGGGAAAACACAGACACACAAACAUAUACGCACACAUACAUAUAUACACAUAUACAUAUAUACGACGGGCUUCUUUCAAAAUUCCUAUUGUUAUUAAUAAUGUUUUGUUUAUUAAUUAAAUAUCUAGUAUUAUUACUAUCGUCAUUUUUAUUAAGCCAGGUAACAGGGGACUUAUUGUUAGCACAUUUUUCAUUUGAGUAAAAUAAGUCUAUGUUUUUUAUUAUUCAUAGAAGCUAUAACAGUAGCUAAAUUAUGAGUUGACGUAUAUCCAGUAUUUAUUUUUUAUUGUUAAUAAUUUCAUAAUAUUUGAUCUAACCAUUGUAUCUAUUUAAAAAUUCUCCUUAUGAUCCUUAAUUGUAAUCCGUGGUCUAUUUGAUACUAAUGGUUCCGUUUUAUCAUCUAUAUUAUAAUCUUCCAUAACUUUUUAGUGCACAGUCGUAGAGACUAAGUAAAAAAAAUGAAACAUUGCCGCUCUUUUCCAUUGAUUCCUGUCGAAAAGUCCUAUCCAUGCCAGUAUAAAAAGGGAACGUUAGAUGAAGAUGAUAUAAACUAUCUAUUUAGUUUCGUUGAUCCCACGAUUGUCUUUUUAGAAGCUUGUGAUUAGACCGGAAGUGACUGCUUUCUCUGCUUAAUCUUCAAAACUUGUCUCUCUUUUCCCACCGAACUGCCAAUGACACUAGAGGAAGGAUGCUUGUUCAAAUUUGAAUUAAGCAUGGGGCUUCAGAUUUAAAUUAAACACAGUUCAUUUACAUAAUGGUACAAGCUUCCGAACCAUGUACAUUUUGAAAAAGUAAGCAUUUAGAUUCAUGUUGGUAAGUAUUUGCUCUCAUUGUGAAAUUAGGCGAAGGGGGUGAGGUAGCAGAAACGUUAGCACGCUGGACAAAAUGCUCAGCAGCAUUUCGUCUGUUUUUAAGCUCUGAAUUCAAAUUCCGCCGAGGUCGACUUUGACUUUCAUCCUUUCGGGGUCGAUAAAUUAAGUACCAGUUGCGUACUGGGUUCGAUCUAAUCGACCUGCGCCUCCCCCAAAAUUUCGGGCCUUGUGCCUUGAGUAGUAAAGAAUUGUGAAAUUAGGCACGCGUGUGCCUGUGAGACUGAUUGUGUUGUGGAUCGAUCCACUGGACAACUGAAACGAUAUAAUACCCUCGCUACAGUGUGUGCAUUUUUAGCGAUGGAUUAAGGCAUCGGGCUGGCAGAAUUGUAAGCACGUUGGAAAAAGUACUUAGCGAUAUUUCGCCCGUCGCUACGAUCUGAGUUCGAAUUGUGUCGAGAUCGACUUUACCUUUCAUCCUUUCGGGGUCGAUAAAUUAAGUACCAGUUGCGUACUGGGGUCGAUGUAAUCGACUAUCCCCCUCUCCCAAAAUAUCAGGCUUUGUGCCUAUAAUAUAAAAGAAUCGUUGGCACACCGUACGGAAUUUCUUCUGUCUUUAUGUUCUGAGUUGAAAUUCCGACGAGGUCGAGUCAGCCUUAUUUGCCUUAUUUUGUGGUCGAUGAUAUAAGUACCAGUCCAGCACUGGGGUCUAUAUAAUCGACUUACCCCUCCCCCAAAAUUUCAGGCCUUAUGUCUAUAGCAGAAAGGACUAAUAAGGCAGCGGAAUGACGGGAAUAUUUGAGUCAGAAAAAAAUGCCUUUCGAUUGUUUACGCUCCGAAUUCAAUUACUGCCGAUAUCAACUUCGCCUUUCAGCCUUUCGGGUUCAAUUUUUCAGAAUCGUUAGGGAGUCGAAGUGUUUUCUAGUAGUUGUUCAGAAACUUUCGUGCUGCAUUCUAAAAUAUGUUCAAAUCUAACCGAAGUCAAUAAAUUAAAGUACCACUCAAUCACUAGAGUCAGUGGUAUUAACUAACUAACCUCUUCACCUUAAAAUUACUCGAAUUGUGCCUAAAUUAGAAAGCAUUAUUAUUAUAUUUUCACUUUUUGUAGUUGGUUUGUUUUAUACGAGCUGUUCUGAAUGUAAUCCAUGGAACCUGAAGAAAUAACAGGUUCGCCGUUUGACUGAGGGCGUUAUUUACGAUUCGCACUGAUGUAUUUCAAGGAAAAGAGAGCAAAGACCAAGAAUUAUCAGUUACUGAUCUUGCUAGCUAACUAACUGAGAAUUAUGGUUUCCUCAAAAAUUCGUAGUAUUUCUGUUCUUGUAAAAUUUUAAACGAUUCGAAUAUUUUCGGGUUGACAGGGUUUUCUUACGAUCUUUGUUGAGAGUGUGAUUUUCUCAGAAAAUUGUGUAUAUGUACAUAUCAUCAUUUUGUGCGGGUAUUUCAUAACUCUGGUAUAACAUUGAACGAAGCCCUCCGACUUUGUCAUACCACUCCUUAUGUAGUUGAUAAUAGUAGACAGUUAUUUAGUGCAUUCUGAAAAAUUACAUAUAUUCAGUGGUCUCUGAUUGGAUGGUACUGAUUCUCUUCUUCAAAUCAUCAUCAUCAUUUUUUUUUGUUUCCAUAUACACUCAACGGAUAACACUGUUGGAAAAGAAAAAAAAUCCUAACAUCGGACUACAAGUGACCUUAGAUGCCAAGAACGCCGCUAAGUUUCCUACCUAUCCCUAAUAACACUGUUUUCUGGUGCUGUAUUAAAUUGGGUUUUAUGCCUAUUUCUUCUAUCCAUUUGUUCAGAUAUUUAGAUAUAGUUCCCAAUGCACCUAUAACUACUGUGAUACAUUUUAUCCGUACUUUCCAUAGUCUCUGUAAUUCAAUUAUUAUUAUUAUUAUUAUUAUUAUUAUUAUUAUUAUUAUUAUUAUUAUUAUUAUUAUUAUUAUUAUCAUUAUUAUUAUUAUUAUUAUUAUUAUUAUUAUUAUUAUUAUCAUUAUUAUUAUUAUUAUUAUUAUUAUUAUUAUUAUUAUUAUUAUUAUUAUUAUUAUUGAGUGAGAGAGCAGUUCAUGCCAUCAAAGUGACACUGGGGUAAAAUAUACGAAGCCCAAUAUACCCAUCAUGACUACCCGUCUGAUAAGGGUACACCAGGCAUAUGCAUCACAACCAUAUGUGCGCGACAUGGUGAUCUCAUAUCAAGAUAAACAGCACAUGACCUUGCAGAUGGGGCCCAGUUAGAAUUUUCUUUAGGUUGAGUAGCCCAUCCCGCUCAAAAGGUCCCUGAAUAAGGGUUGUUUAAGGAUGUUGAAAGAACCACCCAUGUUUCCAGAGGUGAAUUAUUCAAACCCCAAAGAAUCCCUCUCAACACAUGGCUAUGAUGCUCCCCCACUACUUCUGCUCGUGAUCAGAGAUGCACAUAUCGUCAGCCACUAAGAGACAUGCUCAACUGGUUACGGUCAAACAGCUGACAAGCAAAUCUGUGGUAUUGAGCAGAAUAUUUGCUGUAGCCCAUCUUUUAUACCAAGACAAAACAAUGUACGUGAUAACACUUCCAAUCAGUUAAGAUCAGAAGCCAUGAGAGCCACUGCCUAGUACUGCAUCAUUAUUAUUAUGAUUAUUAUUAUUAUUAUUAUUAUUAUUAUUAUUAUUAUUAUUAUUAUUAUUAUUAUUAUUAUUCAGUAGUUUUAUUUUUAUAGCGUGCUUUCACUUCACUACCGAGCGCAGCUCUGUGUGCCUUGGGUAUGUGCUGUGAUUUCUUGUGAUGCUCUGAUGGUUAUUGUAUGGAAAGUGUUCUGCGUAGGAUGUGUGCAGUGCCUAGUAGUGCAAUUUUCUGUAUGUUAUAUGUGUUUGUAAGUCCUGGUGUUUUUGUUAUGUAUUUGUCUGAAUAUUUUUUAUCAUGCCUAAUGCACCUACUAUGAUAGGAAUUAUUUCUGUUUUUAGAUUCCACAUUCUGGUUACCUCUAUUUCCAGGUCUUUGUAUUUUGAAAGUUUCUCCAUUUCUUUUAGAGACACGUUGUCAUCUGCCGGUAUUGAUACAUCAAUUAGAAAGCAUUUCUUUUCUUCAUGAUCUCUGACAACUAUAUCUGGUAUGUUGGCCUUAAUUUCUCUAUCUGUGUGUAUCGGCAUAUCCCAGAGUAUGGUUGCUUUCUCGUUUUCUGUGACCUUUUCUGGUGUGUGCCUAUACCAUCUUUUUUCUGUUGUUAUUCCAUAAUGUUGGCAUAGCUUCCAGUGUAUGUAGGUCCCAACUCUGUCAUGUCUGUGAAUAUAUUCCUUCUUAGCCAGGACUGGGCAGCCAGAGAUAAUAUGAUUUAUUGUUUCUUGUCCAUCUCCACAUAUUCUGCAGUUACUUGUUAUAUUUCUUUUCAUUACAUGUUUUUUGGUAAUUUCUGGUGGGAGGCUUUGGUCUUGUGCUGCAAUUAAAAAUCCCUCUGUCUCUGCUUUGAGUCCUGAGCUUCUCAACCAUUGCUGGGAUUUUUCUUUGUCUAUUUCUUUUGCGUUUAGUUUAGUCCAGUAUUUACCAUGAAGGGGCUUUUCUUGCCAUCGUUUUAUCAUGGUUCGUUGCUGUUCUAUUUUUAGUUUGGAUUUCAUUUGUUUUAUAGCUUUUGUUGUUUCUUCAUCUUCUUCUUCUUCUUCAUAUUUAUUAGGUGGUAUGAUUUCUUGUUUGUAUUUGUCAGCUUCCUUAAAUACUGAGAACAGUUUUUUGUUUUGCUCGUGUUUUGCCGCUAUUUGUAUCAGUUUUCCUUCCUUCUGAAGUAGAUAUUUUUGCAGUCCUAUGGUGGUUAUUUUAUAGUAGUUUUCCAGCUGUAUAAGGCCUCUACCACCUUCUAUACGUUGUAUAUAUAGUCUUUCUAUGUCAGAUUUUGGGUGAUGCAUCCUAGAUCCUGUCAUUAUUUUUCUUGUUUUCCUAUCUAUUUUGGUCAGUUCAUUUAGUGUCCAGUUAAGGAUAUUGUAGCUGUAACUUAUAACUGGGACAGCUAAAGUGUUAAUACCUAUUAUCUUGUUUUUAGCAUUGAGCUCUGUUUUUAGUAUUGAUCUAACUCGUCUAUAAUAUUCUUUUUUUAUUUUCUCUUUCAUUUGUGUGUGUUGUGUCUUAUCUAGUUCAUGGAUUCCUAAGUAUUUGUAAGUUUGGCUUUGGUCUAAUUCUUUUAUUUCAUUGGUUUUAUCUAGUGUGAUGUUGUUACUCUUGACUAGUUUUCCUCUUUUCAUGGUUACUUUGGCGCAUUUUUCUAAUCCAAAUUUCAUAUCUAUUUCUUUGGUAAAUCCAUGAACUGUCUUUAAUAGUGUUUCCAGCUGUUUGUCAUUUGCAGCGUAUAGUUUUAGGUCAUCCAUAUAUAAAAGGUGGCUGAUCGUUUUGCCGUAACAUUUAUAUCCGCAUCCAGUUCUAUUUAGCAUAUCAGAUAGAGGUGACAGUGCCAAGCAGAAAAGGAGUGGAGAGAGCGUGUCUCCCUGGAAUAUUCCUCUUCUAAUGGGGAUGGCUUUGGUUUUCAUGAGUCCCUCUUUUGUUUGGAGCUGUAGCACUGUUUGCCAUUUAUUCAUAGAGUGCCCUAUGAAUUUUAUAAUUGUUGGUGCUACUUUGUUAAUGGCUAGUGUUUCGAGGAUCCAUGUGUGGGGGAUGCUAUCAAACGCCUUUUGUAGUCGAUCCAGGCCAUACUGAGGCCUUUCUUCUUUCUGUGGCUGUCUUCAGUUAUGGCUUUAUUAAUCAUUAGUUGAUCUUUACAGCCAUAUGAGCCUUUGCGGCAUCCUUUCUGCUCUUCUGGAAACAGGUUGUUUUCGUCCAGGUGCUUGUUCAACCUUUGCGAUAUCACUGCAGUAAAUGCCUUGUACAUUGUAGGGAGACAGGUUAUUGGUCUGUAGUUUUCUAGUUUUGCUGUCUCAUUUGAUUUGGGAAUUAAGAUGGUUUUCCCCUUCGUGAGCCAUUCAGGCAUUGUCUCUGGCUCUGCUAGUAUGUUGUUAAAGUUUUCAGCCAGCUUUUUGUGCAUUCCUGUUAGAUAUUUCAACCAGAAGUUGGGGAUCUUGUCAUGCCCAGGUGCCUUCCAGUUGCUUAGUUUUGCAGUGCCUGGGUGACCUCUUCAGUUGUUAUGGGGGUCCAAAGUUGCUCAGAUGCUGAGUUUGUUGUUUUAAUACUCCUUUUUUUUUUGGUUGUUCGUUCGCCGACCAUAUUUCUCUCCAGAAUUCUUCCACUUCUUCUGCCGUUGGUGCUGCUUUUGCCAAGUUCUUGGUAGAACUUUUUGGGGUUGGAGUUGAACUUUUUGUUUUGUUCAAAGAAGCGCUGGCGUUUCUCGUACCGGCGGAUCCUUUGUGCUUUGGCAAGGAUAUCUUGCUUCAGCUUUUCUUUUAUCUCAGGUAAAUCUUUUUCUGUGAUGUUAUAUUUGCAGAGUAUUUUUGUUUUCUUUUUGUUGCUCAGUAGCGUUGAUUGUCUACUGAUUUCAUUAAGAAUCGACAGAUCUUUUCUCAUUUUUUGUAUUUUGUUUUGGAUGUUAUUUAUCCACAGGGUUUGUUUGGGUGGUGGUACUCCUGGGUACUUUGGAUGGGUUUGAGUGAGUAUCCAGCUUCUUUUGUGGCUGCAGUGGCUGCUGCGUAUACUAAGUCAUUUAGCUCAGUGAUAUCGCUUUUUGUUUCAGUGGCUAUUAGUUCCGUGACGGCUAGGUUUAUGCUGUUUAUAAUUGGUGUUGUUGUUUCGUCUAUUUUGAUUUUUGGGAGGUAUGGUCGGUGGUCCAUUUUGAGCUCUGUGGUUUUCAGUUCUUUGACUAUUUUACUUUUUAUAUUAUCAUAAUCAUUAGGCUCUCCUUCGUUGUCUCUAGGUUUUAGAUUUGCGACGCUUUCUUUCUUAUUUAUAUGUUUGUUUGCCGUGUUUUGGCUUGCUGUUUGUCGUGUAUUAUUAUGCAUCCUUACGGUCUGGGUUUGUUGUUUUUUUGUUUACAUCGUGUUUGUUGGGAAUGUUACGUUUGUCUUCGUGUUUUACUGUUUCAGUGUUUAUAUUAUUGGGCAUUGUUGUGUGGCUUCUAUCUACAUUUUCCUGGUGUAUUUUUUCUUUUAGAUGUUCUAUUUCUAUUUCUGAUAUUUUUUUGCGUUGAGAAUGUAUCUUCGUACGUUAGCUAGUUUAUUAGGGUUCAUUGCUGUAUCCAAGUCUAUAUUUAUGUUAUUUUCCUUCCAUAUUUUAUAUGUAUGUGUUGUUGUGUUUUCAUUUUUUGGGUAGAGCACUGCUGUGAAGUAUGCGUGUAGGAUAGAAAUGUAUUCCUCACGUGUCCAUUUAUGUCUUUUGGGUUUUAUUUGCGGGACAUGAGGAACAACGUUCGGCCCAUUAUUUUGACGGUCGUCAUUUUCGUAGGGUACCGGUCCGUUCAUUUCUGUUGCCACAUUGUUUUGCACGUGUAGUUUUUCGUACAUUUUGUGUUGUAAGUUUAAAGUACGUACCUCCCGAUUGUUAUUCUUGGGUUGAAUAAUAUCGGUGGUAUUUAAUUUCUUCGUAGUUCCUUUGUACAUGAUGUUUGGGGUCGGGGGUGAUCUGGUGUUUAUGGAUCGUAAUGUACCACGCAUGUUUACAUGUGUUGUGUUAGAGGUGGAGAUGAUAUCGAGUCAAAAUACAUCAUUUCGUUUCGAAAAUAGUAAUAAAUUUCAAUUAGUAUUACUAACUCGGGUACAGUCCAAUCCUUUGUUAGUAAAUCUUUGGCUCCAUGCGAUGUCCUUGUUUUCGAUGUUUGUGGAUAGAUUCCGGAGCUCUGUUAUAUCGUUCUUACAUCUUAAACGUCCCCCGGUGUAUCUUUUAAACGUCCCCCGGUGUAUCUUUAAACGUCCACCAGUGUAUCUUUAAACGUCCCCCGGUGUAUCUUCGUCCCCCCGGUGUAUCUUCCGUCCCCCGGUGUAUCUUCCGACCCCCGGUGUAUCUUCGUCCCCUGGUGUAUUAUUAUUAUUAUUAUUAUUAUCAUUAUUAUUAUUAUUAUUAUUAUUAUUAUUAUUAUUAUUAUUAUUAUUAUUAUUAUUAUUAUUAUUAUUACUAUUUUUGUUGUUGUUGUUAUCAAAGCUUAGCGUUGAAAUGCUUAGCAAUAUUUCGUCUGCCGCUACGUUCUGAGUUCAAAUUCCACUGAGGUCGACUUUGCCUUUCAUCUUUUCGGGAUUGAUAAAUUAAGUACAGUGAAACACUAGGGUCGAUAUAAUCAACUAGUGCCCUUCCCACAAAUUUCAGGCUUUCAGCCUUUAGUAGAAAUUAUUAUUAUUAUUGUUGUUGUUGUUGUUGUCGUUGUUGUUAUUGUUAUUGUUGUUGUUCCUCUUCUUCUUCUUCUUCUUAUUAUUAUUGUUGUUAAUAUUAUUAUUAUUAUUAUUAUUAUUAUUAUUAUUAUUAUUAUUGAGUGAGAGAGCAGUGCAUGCCAUCAAAAUGACACUGGGAUAAAAUAUGCGAAGCCCAGUAUACCCAUAAUGACUACCCAUCUGAUAAGGUUACAUAAGGCACAUGUAUCACAACCAUAUGCGCGGGACAUGGCUAUGAUGCUGCCACACUAAUUCUGCUCGUGAUCAGAGAUGCACAUACCGUCAGCCAUUAAGGGACAUGAUCAACUGGUUAAGGUCAAACAACUGACAAGCAAAUCUGUGGCAUUGAGCAGAAU
rnacentral:lncRNA from 1 species